rnacentral:rRNA from 1 species
UGCAUAUCAAUAAGCGGAGGAAAAGAAACUAACAAGGAUUCCCCUAGUAACGGCGAGUGAAGAGGGAAGAGCCCAAGUUUGGAAGCUGGCGUUUGUAUUCAGAUGUCUGCAUUGUAAACUCAAGAAGUGUUUUCUGCGCUGGAUCAAAUUCAAGUCCCUUGGAAUAGGGCAUCAUAGAGGGUGAAAGUCCCGUGCUUGAUUUGAAACCCCCAGGGCUUUGUGAUACACUUUCCAAGAGUCGAGUUGUUUGGGAAUGCAGCUCAAAAUGGGUGGUAAAUGCCAUCUAAGGCUAAAUAUUGAGGAGAGACCGAUAGCGAACAAGUACCGUGAGGGAAAGAUGAAAAGAACUUUGGAAAGAGAGUUAAACAGUACGUGAAAUUGCCGGAAGGGAAGGGUAGGAAGUCAGACAUGCCUUUGCAGAUUCAGCCUUGUGCUUUAUUGGACUUGGUGCAUUUUUGUAUUGGCUUGCUAGCAUUGGUUUGUAUUGACAGAUAUAGGCUUAGGGAAUGUGGCUUAGCUUUCGGGCAAAGUGUUAUAGCCCUUUGCUGAGUAUGACAAUAUAGACCAAGGAUUGCAGUGCACCCAUUUUAGGGCGGGCCUUUCGAGGCACCUUUGCACUUAGGAUGCUGGCUUAAUGGCUUUCUGCCACCCGUCUUGAAACACGGACCA